rnacentral:rRNA from 1 species
AUUGAACGCUGGCGGCAUGCUUUACACAUGCAAGUCGAACGGCAGCGCGGGCUUCGGCCUGGCGGCGAGUGGCGAACGGGUGAGUAAUGCAUCGGAACGUGCCCAGUAUUGGGGGAUAGCCCGGCGAAAGCCGGAUUAAUACCGCAUACGACCUGAGGGUGAAAGCGGGGGACCGAAAGGCCUCGCGCUAUUGGAGCGGCCGAUGUCGGAUUAGCUAGUUGGUGGGGUAAAGGCUUACCAAGGCGACGAUCCGUAACUGGUCUGAGAGGACGACCAGCCACACUGGGACUGAGACACGGCCCAGACUCCUACGGGAGGCAGCAGUGGGGAAUUUUGGACAAAGGGGGCAACCCUGAUCCAGCCAUGCCGCGUGCGGGAAGAAGGCCUUCGGGUUGUAAACCGCUUUUGUUCGGGAAGAAAUCCUCUGGGCUAAUACCCCGGGGGGAUGACGGUACCGGAAGAAUAAGCACCGGCUAACUACGUG